rnacentral:rRNA from 1 species
AUUGAACGCUGGCGGCAUGCCUUACACAUGCAAGUCGAACGGCAGCGGGGGAGAAGCUUGCUUUUCCUGCCGGCGAGUGGCGAACGGGUGAAUAAUACAUCGGAACGUGCCCUGUAGUGGGGGAUAACUAGUCGAAAGAUUAGCUAAUACCGCAUACGACCUGAGGGUGAAUGUGGGGGACCGCAAGGCCUCAUGCUAUAGGAGCGGCCGAUGUCUGAUUAGCUAGUUGGUGGGGUAAAGGCCUACCAAGGCGACGAUCAGUAGCUGGUCUGGGAGGACGAUCAGCCACACUGGGACUGAGACACGGCCCAGACUCCUACGGGAGGCAGCAGUGGGGAAUUUUGGACAAUGGGCGAAAGCCUGAUCCAGCAAUGCCGAGUGUGUGAAGAAGGCCUUCGGGUUGUAAAGCACUUUUGUCCGGAAAGAAAUGGCUCUGGUUAAUACCUGGGGUCGAUGACGGUACCGGAAGAAUAAGGACCGGCUAACUACGUGCCAGCAGCCGCAGUAA